GGGAAACGAUUCUGACCUGAAACAAUUAAGAUUACAUUGUGGAUGCGUCCAAACCGUUACACGAUAGCACGCAUCCAAUACGCCAGGGCACGGAGGGCCACGACGACCGACGCGAGUGACGAAGCCGGCCGACGACCAGUUCGUUAUCGAGCAGCGCGCCACACAAACGUGUACACGAAUAAUUUUCGCAGCCGCCUAAACCGCCCUUGUAACACUGUGCCAUUUUAUUUCAAUACUCAACACAUUGUAAUAGCGUCCAAGACCAAUUUCAACCACAACAACUAAUCUCAUAAAAGGUACAAUUCACAAAAAUAGAAAGCCAAAAAUUGUAUAUUCUAAAAUAGUAACACAGUUUCAUAAACCGACUUCUCUGGUGAAUUUUAUGGGUGCAAUAUUUAGUGUGAAAAGUGAGUUUCGCGUUUAAAAAAAAACACAGUUUGCAAAAGUUACGGACAAAGAAGAAGUGUGUACACAGGGUGUAUAAAUUGAGAAAUUAUUCGGGUUAAGUAAAGAAGUGUAGUUGUAUUAAAUGCGAAGAUGUGCGUACCCUUGUGGAAGCGGUUGCUGUCGUUGCUAUCCUCGGAGGAGGCGUCGUUGGGCGAGUCGAGCGCGGCGCCCGCCAGCGCCUCGCGCGCCAGCUUCUCGCGCAUUCCGUCCUCGCAUCAUAUCGGGUAAAAAAAAGAAAUCAAAACGUGAACACUACCACUGUGUGUGCAGCUCCAAGAUAUUGGAUUUUCGCGUACAUCUGAUAGCUAUUUUACUAUAA